CUACGGGCCGCAGCAGUGGGGAAUAUUGCACAAUGGGCGCAAGCCUGAUGCAGCCAUGCCGCGUGUAUGAAGAAGGCCUUCGGGUUGUAAAGUACUUUCAGCGGGGAGGAAGGGAGUAAAGUUAGUACCUUUGCUCAUUGACGUUACCCGCAGAAGAAGCACCGGCUAACUCCGUGCCAGCAGCCGCGGUAAUACGGAGGGUGCAAGCGUUAAUCGGAAUUACUGGGCGUAAAGCGCACGCAGGCGAUUUGUUAAGACAGAUGUGAAAUCCCCGGGCUCAACCUGGGAACUGCAUCUGAUACUGGCAAGCUUGAGUCUCGUAGAGGGGGGUAGAAUUCCAGGUGUAGCGGUGAAAUGCGUAGAGAUCUGGAGGAAUACCGGUGGCGAAGGCGGCCCCCUGGACGAAGACUGACGCUCAGGUGCGAAAGCGUGGGGAGCAAACAGGAUUAGAUACCCCAGUAGUC
rnacentral:rRNA from 1 species